CGGACGGGUGAGUAAUGUCUGGGAAACUGCCCGAUGGAGGGGGAUAACUACUGGAAACGGUAGCUAAUACCGCAUAACGUCGCAAGACCAAAGAGGGGACCUUCGGGCCUCUUGCCAUCGGAUGUGCCCAGAUGGGAUUAGCUAGUAGGUGGGGUAACGGCUCACCUAGGCGACGAUCCCUAGCUGGCUGAGAGGAUGACCAGCCACACUGGAACUGAGACACGGUCCAG
rnacentral:rRNA from 1 species